rnacentral:rRNA from 1 species
AUUGGAUGAGCCCGCGGCCUAUUAGCUAGUUGGUAGGGUAACAACCUACCAAGGCGACGAUGGGUAGCCGGCCUGAGAGGGUGUACGGCCACACUGGAACUUAGACACGGUCCAGACUCCUACGGGAGGCAGCAGUGGGGAAUUUUGCGCAAUGGGCGAAAGCCUGACGCAGCGACGCCGCGUGGAGGAUUAAGGCCUUCGGGUUGUAAACUCCUGUCAGAGGUGAAGAAAGUCUCCUUCGGGAGGCCUGGCGGUAACCUCAGAGGAAGCCCCGGCUAACUACGUGCCAGCAGCCGCGGCCGAAU